GUGAACGCUGGCGGCAGGCCUAACCCCUGCAAGUCGAACGGCAGCACCAGAGAGCUUGCUCUCUGGGUGGCGAGUGGCGGUCGGGUGAGGAAUGCAUCGGAAUCUGCCCAUUUGUGGGGGAUAACCUCGGGAAACCGGGACUAAUACCGCAUACGACCUACGGGUGAAAGCAGGGGACCUUCGGACCUUGCGCAGAUGGAUGAGCCGAUGCCGGAUUAGCUAGUUGGAGGGGUAAAGGCCCACCAAGGCGACGAUCCGUAGCUGGUCUGAGAGGAUGAUCAGCCACACUGGGACUGAGACACGGCCCAGACUCCUACGGGAGGCAGCAGUGGGGAAUAUUGGACAAUGGGCGCAAGCCUGAUCCAGCCAUGCCGCGUGUGUGAAGAAGGCCUUCGGGUUGUAAAGCACUUUUGUUGGGAAAGAAAAGCAGCCGGUUAAUACCCGGUUGUCAUGACGGUACCCAAAGAAUAAGCACCGGCUAACUUCGUG
rnacentral:rRNA from 1 species